UUUGUCAAACAAUUGGGAAUCGAUCAAUUUUUUCAUCUCCAUCGUUUCAUCUUCAAUUGGGAAUCGAUCAAUCUUUUCAUCUCCAUCUUCUCACGAUCAAUUUUUCAGAAAAGAGGGUAAAAUCAAGUUCAGUACUUCUUCAAUCCACCGAAUCUUGAAGAGAAAACAAAAAAAUCGUAAAAUGAGAGAAGCUCCUAUUAGUCAAAUCAAUUGGGUUUGUCUAUGGAGAUGAUGGUGCUAUCAAUUGGAUGAUUCAGUUUUCACCCAUGGCUUUAGCGACCCGUUUUAUCUUACCAAUUGGAUUGAUCUGUGGUAGGGACGUUCUCGACAGCCAUUGGAGAAGGUUUGAAAGAAGAAAGGAGAAAGUGAAGAAGUUAAGGAUUCAAAAUAAAUCGGAGUAUGAAUUAGGAUUGAAAGACAUAACUAAAAACGCAGUUUGAGUGUAUCACACACGCUUUAGAACAGAGACACGUGACUGAACUCGGUUCGGUGUUACGAGGUUGUCGUAUGAGACGGCGCGUUCCCGCUUUAAAAGGCAACGGUUACAGUACUCUUCUCUUAGGCCAUCAUAUCGGUAAAACAUGUUGGGUGUUCUUAAGAUUUUUAAAACUGAAAAUAUAGAAAAAGUGGACUUAGAACAUGUUUUCUAAUCUUAAACUAGAACUGUUUUCGGCCCAGUUCUAGUGUGACGUGGCCUACUCUGAUUGGAAACAAUAUUUUGCAACCGAGAAAACUUUUCAUUUCUCAUUUUGUUCGAUAUCGUGACAAACUCCUUGUAAAAUCGGAAGAAAUUUGUUCCAAAAUUCAUUUGCAAAUGGAGGAGAAUGAUUUAAUUUUUGGUGACCUCCGACUGUUCGAACUGUUACUCAUCACCUCCACCGACGGCGGAUCUCAAUUGGUUCAGAGAUGAGAGAUCUUGAUUAUGUGUGAAGAGGACUCUCAACAGAUCGUAGAGGAGAUUCAUGAAAUAAAAGUGGUUGGUGUCAAGGAAUCAAUUUCAUCAGAGAGAGAACCAUACUGCACAAAACAAUUGAUUCCCCAAUCUAAGGUACAAGUCUCUUUUCUGGAACCUAGUCAUAGACUUUACAGUGAUAUAGGUGUUUCACAAUGCUAUUUCAGUUUUUAAAGCUGAUUCCCCAAUCUACUUGAAGCACAAAUGGCGAUCCAAGAGACUGCAAACUCAGUUGAAUAGCUUGUUGUCUCAUCAACUACCUUGUUAAAUCAAAUCUCUAUCACUUUGUACUGCAAAAAAUAUUUCCUUUUCUCUUUGUUUCUUUUGUAUGGACUGGAGUCAGUAUAUAUGACACUAAAAAUUCAAUGGCAACUGGACUAAGAGAGACGCUGGUGGAUGAGAAGAUCUCGUUUGGUCGAUACAGAACAGUGGAGGCAAAGAAUUUUGUAUUGUCCACGUUCAUCAACCGAUCUCAGUCCCGGGAGCGAUGUCCCAUUUCAAGCAGGGAAGCUAGAAGAAGAGAUAACUUGUAUCUAGAAGGUGAUGUCCGAUGUUUGAAAUGGUGUUAAUGUUGCAAAGGUUUUGUGUGUGUGUUUUCAGAUUUGUGAACCAUCAAGGCUAGAGAGUAGAGAGUUUCUGAAAAAACUGUAGGUCUUUGGAAAAUCUGCAGGGACUUCUCCACAGAGAUGAAAUGAAAUGUCAAAGUGGUGAUAAGUGCCUAUGAAGAUGAGGACAUGGACAUAAUGAUGAAGCAAAUACUUCCUUGAGACAACAUACACACCCUCUCGUUACAAUUGCAGCUUAUGAUACAAAACAAAUUUCCUAGUUUUAGCUCCUCUGUAAUUUCAAUAUUCAUGUAUCAAAUAUACAGUAAAAAUUAAUUAUUAUAUUAUUAAA